rnacentral:rRNA from 1 species
AAAUUGAAGAGUUUGAUCAUGGCUCAGAUUGAACGCUGGCGGCAGGCCUAACACAUGCAAGUCGAACGGUAGCACAGAGAGCUUGCUCUCGGGUGACGAGUGGCGGACGGGUGAGUAAUGUCUGGGAAACUGCCUGAUGGAGGGGGAUAACUACUGGAAACGGUGGCUAAUACCGCAUAACGUCGCAAGACCAAAGAGGGGGACCUUCGGGCCUCUUGCCAUCAGAUGUGCCCAGAUGGGAUUAGCUUGUUGGUGAGGUAACGGCUCACCAAGGCGACGAUCCCUAGCUGGUCUGAGAGGAUGACCAGCCACACUGGAACUGAGACACGGUCCAGACUCCUACGGGAG